AAUUCAAACAACAUUACUAAUCAGAAGACGGGUGCCGGAAUCAUCCGUAAGAUACCGGGUUGGAUACGAAAAGGUGCAAAACCAGGAGGCAAAGUCGCCGGCAAAGCUUGUAAAAUUUGCUCAUGUAAAUACCAGAUUUGCAGCAAAUGUCCUAAAUGUCAUGACUAAAGUUAGGCCUUGAGACUAUGUACUUGUGCUGGUGUGAGUUUAAUUUUGAGAGUAAAGGGAAAGUUAUGAAUAGCCUAAUAUAAUUCUAUUACUAUGUUUUCUUAGUAAUUCUUAUUGUUGAAACUUGGAACAGGUCUUUGGGUCAAAAUGUACCUCUUGUCUUGUAGUCUUUCAACUGUAUAGUAUUGUACUGUAUUUUUCUUUAGCCACUUGAUAUCAAAUCCGAUUAAAUGUAAUUUGCGUUGCAUAUGUUUUACCACAGUCAGACCUUUCUAUAACAACAUUCGUAUAUAACAGCCUUUCAUUAUAAAAAUCAAUUUUUUCUUGGAAUCGAUUUUUUAUGUUAUGCUAUAAUAUAUGUUUUCUUUAACAGCACUUCACUAUAGCAGCAAAAAAAUAUCGAAACAAACGAGAUUGUUAUCGAUGGGUUUGACUGUACAAGGAAACGGGUUCUUAUAAAAAGGUUUAUCAUUUUUAGAGUUCGAACCUAAGAUCUUUGAUUAAGUUGGGUAUAGAAAUAACCUUUAUCCGUAGUAUAUAUACCGGGAUCUUGUAUCAGCGAUUAUAUAAUAAUUACUUGAUCCCAAAGACAUUAUAGGAGCUUAAUUUGGAAGAGCAAUUUGCUCGACAGAUAAAUUAAUUUCUGUCUCCUUGCCCUCUCUUACAAUAAUGGGGCGGUAGUUGAUUAAGCCAUAUUCAAUAUUUACAGCAAAGAUUACAUAUAGGAUACCUCUAACAUGAAUCCAGCACUCCUUUACAAGCUAAUUAUUAAUUUUGCCUUGAACAGUAUAAAGUUUAAUCCGAAUACUAUUCCGUAAUCAUAUAUUAGUCUCAUAGAUAUACUAUUCCGCAAAUUUAACCCCUUUUUAUAAUGAACAUUGUUAAUCAGUAACUUGUGCAAUAUAAUGCCCUUUUACAGUCACAGAUCUCUCUCCUAGUAGGGUUAAAAAAAACAAAGAAGAGAAAUGGCAAUGCAAAGAUGAGAGAAAGCACAGUCACCUGCUUUUUGCGGAUGACCUUAUACUAUUCGCUCGUGCUGACCUAGACAAUGCCAACACUAUCAUUAAUAUAUUCAACUCUCUCCACAUCCAAUCAGCAAAAAAUUUAUUUCUCUAAAUCAAAACUUUUGUUUUUCAAAAACGUACCGCUCG
rnacentral:lncRNA from 1 species